ACGGAGGAUGCAAGCGUUGUCCGGAAUCAUUGGGCGUAAAGAGUUCGUAGGUGGCAUGUCAAGUCUGGUGUUAAAUACCGAAGCUCAACUUCGGAUCGGCGCUGGAAACUGACAAGCUGGAGCAUAGUAGAGGCAAGGGGAAUUCCCAGUGUAGCGGUGAAAUGCGUAGAUAUUGGGAGGAACACCAGUGGCGUAAGCGCCUUGCUGGGCUAUUGCUGACACUGAGGAACGAAAGCCAGGGGAGCGAAUGG
rnacentral:rRNA from 1 species